CAGGUUUAUUCGUACACAGCCAAAGAAUAUAUUUUCCGACAAUUUUUGGAGAGUUAAGCCAACACAAAAUUUAGUCCUAAAUUUUGUUGCAGAGUUUGUACACAUAUCCAACAUCUUAUUCCUCUCUCUCGAUAGAGAAUAUCCAUCUUCCGCGAGGUUAUGGAAUAUUAUGAUGAGAUCUUUGAUCUGAAGCCAAUUUUCCCAGAGAUCCACUCGAAUGGAAGAAGCAUCAAUUCCGACAACAACAACAAUUCUUCAUCAAAUUCCACUGCAGCAGCCCCAAAAUUGCUCUCUUUUGAGAGCUCAAAUUCACCACAAAUGGAUCAAAGCUCCCUAAAUGUUGACUACUCUGUAACCUCCGAAAUCAUAAAUUUCUCGUCUUCUACAAAGGAUGAUUACAGCAGCAACAACGAAUACUAUCCUCAGAAAAGGAUUAAUUCUUGUGCAGCAGCAAGAACUCCCUCACAAGCCAUGGAUCACGUCGUUGCCGAGAGAAAGAGGAGAGAGAAUCUAAGCCAACUCUUCAUCAGUCUCUCCAAAGUCGUGCCGGGCCUCAAAAAGUUGGACAAGGCUUCUCUACUUGAAGAUGGGAUAAACUAUGUGAAAGCUAUGCAAGAACGAGUGCGUGUUUUGGAGGAAGAAGAGGAGAGAAGAAAUGCAGCAGUGAAAGAGGAUUCAUCAUCAUCGUACAGCGGCGGCGAAUCGGAGGGUCCGGAAAUUCAUGCAAGAAUUUCGGACAAGCAUGUGUUGAUCAAGAUGUUCUGCAAGAAUAAGAUGGGGUUGAUGUCAAGAAUCCCAAGUGAAAUGAUGGACAUAAUGCAUCUCAAUGUUGUGGACAUGAGAAUCAUGCCUUUUGGAGGGACUGCUCUUGAUAUCACUAUCCUUGCUGAGAUGCAGAGAGAAUUCGAGGGCACAGCGAAAGACAUUGUGGAACACUUGCAUACCCUAUUUCUCAACUGAAUUUCCCACACUACAUUGUAAAACACAACCACCGUCGAUCUAAUUAAGUUACUGACUCUCAAUUGUGUUUCAUUUUUUUUUCGAUAAAAGUGGUGUAUUACUUACUCAUGCAUUAUGGAAAAGUGAACGAAAUUGUUCCUACGUAUUCUAGAAGCGUUGCCUACGAUUCUUGGAUGGUUGGACCUGUAUUUCCAUGGUAUUUUGGCGAAGGGUGAGAUUUUGGUGGUGGUGUGGUGGAAUACAACGGCGGCAGCUGAAGUGGUUCGGCGGAGUAGCAUAGCGCGAGCUCCGUUCGCAAGCAGACGAGCUCUGUUGUGAACGGGAAUUCAAAGAGUGAGGAGAUUUGUGCAGGCCCGUCCACAAAAAAAAUUUCUAAUCUAUUUUUAGUAAUAAUUUGUGGAUCCGUUUCUUUAUUUAUUAACUUAUGGGUCUCUUUCUCCACUCACAAACUUAACUUAUUUUUUUAUUAAUUUACGAACCUCUUUCUCCA